UCAAUUUUACAAUGUUAAACUUUCUCUUUCAAAUGAUUUGUUUGUCAUUUUAACAUGUUUUUUUUUCUACCAUGGUAUAUCAUCCAUCAAUCCAUUUUCUUUGCCGCUUAUCCUCACAAGGGUCGCAGGAGUGCUGGAGCCUAUCCCAGCUGUCAACGGGUAGGAGGCGGGGUAGCCCCUGAACUGAUCGUCAGCCAAUCGCAGGGCACAUGGAGACAAACAUCCGCACUCACGACCACACCUACGGGCAAUUUAGAGUGUCCAAUUAAAGUUGCAUGUUUUUGGGAUGUGGGAGGAAACCGGAGUGCCCACCCAGAGAAAAGCCAUACGGGGAGAACAUGCAAACUCCACACAGACGGGUCCUGGAUUGAACCCAGGACCUCAGAACUGUGAGGCCAACGCUUUACCAGCUGAUCCACCGUGCCGCAUUUUCCCUCGUCCGGGCAGCACUUCGUGGACGUCGCAAAACACGAGUCACUUUUUAGGCUUUCUGCUUUUCCAAAAUGGACCAAAAUAAACUGCAACAAAAAAGCACCAAAAAAAUGAAAUAUAUGUAAAAAUCCCCGAUGAUGCUCACAAAUAUCUCCCGUGCGCCUCACCUGCAGAUAAACCCCCCCCCCCCCCCAAAAAAAAGAUGACCCGUUCUGCAGGAAGUGCCGCUGUUCUUAUUUGUAUUGGACUAAUUGCGAUUUUACAGGCGGUUGGCCCGCGACCAUCAUCCCGGCGCGCUCGUGCGGCUGACGAGAAACGCUUGGGAAAGGAGGGAGCGAAGAGAAAACACGAGCGGCGGAUUGCGAGCAUUCUGCAACGCAUGAGGUCAUGAGAAUUGGAGAGCGGCGCUGUCGGACUGAUGAAAAUGACUCACCGGAGGGACAUCGGCGCACUUGGUCACCGAGAGGUCGCCUCCAUCCUCGAAAGACAGAGCGAGAAAUGCACCGUUAUUGAAUUUCACUUUUUUUUUUUUUUGUCUCUCGCGUGUGUCGUCCUCCCGCCGCACAAUAAACGACGUCGGGAUUCAAAAACAACGGGUUGUGGGAACGCGGAGGGGCCGACGCCGGAGCUAUUUCUGUCAGAAGCGGUCCCGUUACCCUGGAGGCGGCUCGUGUUUUCCACACAGUUUCGCCGCUUGGCAGUUGAACGUCAAGCCCACCCCUCCCUUCCAUCCUUCCACCGUCCUCCUCUUCUGCACCCCCCCCCCCCUACCUCCGACCACCCCACCCGACAGGAAAGCGCCCGUGGCCCGCUACGGAGACAGCCUGACUGUGCAGGCGGCCCGGCAGAUGCACUGGAGAUAAGUUUGUAUGUGUAAGCUGGGCCGCGACCCUCGGCGGCAGGACAUUGACCAGAUCCUGUCAGGGAGAGGGCGAGAGCCCGGACCCAGUGCCUCCUCUCUGACACCCCCCCAUCGCCACCCCCGUCCCCUUCCCCAGCCUACUGUCUCCGUGCGUGGCUUCCCCAAAGCCCAGCAGGGGCCACGGGGGGGUGGGGGGGGGACAGAACUCCGACCACCUCAGCCGCCGGCCCCUCUCUGGAGCCAAGACUUUCCUCUUCUUCCACAACGCCUCCUUGUAUGCACAGUAGAGAUGCCCCCCCCCCCCCCACAUACACACAAUGAGCCCCCCAAGAUAACACCCCCCACCCCCAGUCCCCCCAGAAAGAUAAUGGAUGCGAGUGUAUGACAGAGACGCCGGGGCCACUUAUAAAAACAGCAUCUUUCAUGCGACGUCAGCACUUUUUGGCCUCUUCUUUGGCGUCACAGGAAACGCGAAGGCUGGAAAUGUGGAAAUACAGACGACGCUUGCGUCUGUUGUUGUCUAAUGAGAGUUAUUUUGUUGUCCCUUCCAGGGUGCACAAAAAUCAGUGAAUGGAGCUGCCAGCAUCAAUCUGGAUGCUAGCGACAGCUAGCCGCGGUAAACAAUACUCAAUUGUGCCGGCCCCAUUCAAAGGUUCCCAUCGAAGGACAUUUGCAGUACGUUAAUAGAACCCAAAAUGCAAGCUGGUACUGAAGAGUUUUUCUGAUUCCCCCCCCAAAAAAAAAAAAUCUGGACUUCAUUCUUCAGAGUCUGUGUUCUGUUAUGGUCGGCUUAACUGUCAAAAAGGAAGCGCCGCUGGUCUAUUCCCCGGACUAACGAGUGGGAUUGCUGAUUCCUCUGUCCUCAAGAACCGCGGGUAAAAGAAUUCCACGUCCGCGUCUUUUGGAGGACGAUGACGUUCAGUGGGGGGAAAGCAAGAAUGUUUUUUUUUUUGUUUGUUUAGCCAGAAUCAGAAGCGCUAAUGAGGAUUUCCUGCUCCUUAGGCUCCGCCGCUAAAGUCCUCACGCUAAAUUGCUACGCCACUGUUUUAUAGACUUUCGCCUUCAUGCUAGCGGAGACUCUUCUGUCACAUAGAACACCAGACACCUUCCGCCAACUGUUCCACCCCACUUGGACCUGUUUCUUCAAUUUCCUUACCACACUCUCCAUUGCUCUGUAUUGUUGUUGACCUCAAGUAUUUCAAGUCAGUCCUUUGAACCUAACUCGUGAUGUUUCCAAAUGAUCUAGAACUGCUUGUUAUCGUUCACCUGGAAAAUGGUCACCUGGUAUGUGGCUGUCGAAAGAAAUCUCUUAUGUGCCAUGAUAAGCUCAUAUGGUAACAGUAUUGUUUACCGUUUGUAUUUCGUUCUGAAGUUGAAGAUCUUGUCUGGAUUUAACUGCUGCGGACUGUGACGACGUUGUUUAUUUUCUAUUCCAACCGCGUACAGAAACGUCACACAUACAGACCGACGUCACUGAAACUCUUCUUGUGUCUGAUUCUCAACUGGUGGGUCCGGACUCAAAAGCCAAUUUGUGUCGCAGAGAGCUAGUUAAAAAACAAAAAAUAGUCCAUUGAUCCUAUUUGUAUUGAGAUCUUUUAGUUCCGGUUCAGAGGCGUACCAAGCUCCCGCAUGGAACAUAUUAGAUAAGCCACAGGAAAUGUUAUUCACUUCUGCGCUAGUCACUAGUUUACUCCAUAAACAGAUAAAGUGUACCUCCACCGUACCAUGCCCAGUAAAAUGCUUUCGGUGCUACUGUACAGUAUGUCAAAUUCAUUUGAAAUGGCAUAACGUAGUGUUUUAAAGUAAUACAAGUGAGGAAACUUUCUCGGUUGGGGUUCAGUUCAAACUCAUCGGGACUCGACAUUGUUUGGAAAGUGCAGGAAAACAUCAAAAUCAGUCGGUUCCUGCCGCCUGACGUCAGCGCCGAGACUCGGUUGUGAUGACUAAAGGCGCUUCUGACCUUGUGAUCGCGCUUUUCUCGCAGAGAGGGAGCAAUAAUCACCCCCCCCGAACAUCACACCCCUUCCGAAUAAUCACCCGAAGCGGCCAGAAUCCAUCUUUCACCCGACAGGGCCGCCUCCUCCGCCGGAGGCGACGCGAGGCCGAGCCUCGCAGCUCCUCGCGAGCUUCCACCCGGUUCUUCGUCAUCGGAUUCCAAGUGGGAGGGAGGCACGAAGACGGCCUGACUGACUCCUACUGACGCCCUCUUCCAGGAAACGUCGGCGGCGGCUCCCUCGGAAACAAACACAACUUGGAUUGCAAAGCCGACAGGAAAGAAUCCAUCAGGUGUGUCGUGGCCCCGAAGCGUCGCAGCCGCUUAUCCUCAGGAGGGUCGCAAGGAGUGCAGGAGCCUAUCCCGGGCUGUCAACGGGCAGGAGGCGGGGGACACCCUGAACUGGUCGCCAGCCAAUCGCAGGGCACGUCGAGACAAACGACAGUUGCACCUCGGGGCAAUUUAGGGUGUCCGAUUAAUGUUGCAUGUUUUUGGGAUGUGGGAGGAAACCCACCCGGCCACGGGGAGAACAUGCAAACUCCACACAGGCAGGUCCGGGAUGGAACCCUGGACCUCAGAACUGUGAGGCCAACACUUUUCAUAUCACUGUUCCACCUUCUUAUAAUUUGUA